GCCUUCGGUUGCUAACUUGUAGGGGCGGGAUGCACUUAGUGACGUCAGAGGCCUAGCGCCCAGUGCGCACGCGCACUUGUGUAAAAAGCGAGGACGUGAGCGUUCUGGAAGCUUUGCUCUUUUCACUGUUAGUGAGGAGCAGUCAAGGAUGCGUAUUAAGAAAAUAACUAGAAGUGGCCGCAUGAUGUACCUCUCACCAGUGAGAUGUCUGUCAAGGGUGUACGUGGGCCUUCUGAGCCUCAUCGGAGCACAAAGUUCCAAGUGACUUCAAAGGGUUUUCUGUACUCGGAGCAGCUCUAUGGGACAUGGAAGAUGAGAAAUGAACCAACAACAGAGGUGCAAUGAAAGGUAAAACUCAUAGCAUCACCACAGCUCUUAGGUAAGUGGCAGGCUAAAUUACUGCACUUGGAUAUAUGAAUCUCAUGGGUUCAUGAUGGAAAAGAUAACAAGCAUUUAAGACCAAAAAUAAAUCUGAGUUUGUUCACUGGAUGCAGGAAAAGUUUUCCUAAACAAAUAAUGUGGGUAACAUUUCAUUAUUAGCAUGGAAAUAUGUCCACUUUCAUGUUUAGAGAAGGAAAUAAUAAAUAAAUGAAUGAUCAAACAUAAAAGCAAAAUACAGCAUUCACAGUAGGCAUCCAAUGUAACAUGCUAUUUAGAUAAAAACAGUCCCUUCAAAGUCCAAUAUGUUUUUAAAAGCCUGAUAUUUACAGUGGUAUGAUUUCUAGGGAAAUUGAGAAAUUAAAUAUAUAUCCAGCAACAUACAGAAGAAACUCUGUGUAUCCAUUUGUACCAGCCUCUCUUUUCUCUGAAAGAUUGGCCUUCGGAAAGUGAAGGAAGAUUGGAUUCAGACAUUAUGUCCUCUUACACAAAUUGUUGCAAUAACUUGUCAUAAACAGGAAAAUAUAAAAUUAAAUGCAAUGUUUAUAUAGAUAUAAAUGUUAAAAAGAGCACAAUAUUACAAAAUGAAGUGGUUUAUAUUUUAGGUAGAUUGUGUACUUGAUAAAAUAUUAUAAAAUUUGCAUUUUUGAUAACUUAAUUCUUUGAAUAAUUGUGAUUUGAUAUUAAUCAAUCUGAAAUUUUUUCUUCAGGAUUUAAGAUGUUUAUUCUCUCUUAAUUUAAGUAUCAAUUUAAGUAUUUGCACUUGUGGACUUUCUCUUUAUUUCUUUUUAUUUUCAUGAAGAUUCCCACCUUACAAAUAUCACUUUCAGGGUUCUUAGGGAUCAUAUUAUUAUUAUUUUACAAUUUAUUGAAAAUGGCAUGAGGUUAGAUAUCAUCAGAUUCUUUUGGAAAGUUAUUAUAAACAAGAACAUAUUUCCCUUUUUAGCUGAAUGACAGGAUAUCUGUUUAAAAUGAAUACUUAAAAGCAGCUUGAAUUUCAUUCUUCAUGCUCAUCAUUUACAGUUUUCUAUAGCAAUGUUUUUUCUGGAAUGUGCCUUAGAAUGCAGACAAUAAAGGCUGAAUGAGAGAUAUGUUAGGCUAAGCUCAACAAAACACAUUGCAAUUAUUGUUUCUUCAAUUAUGUCUAAAAUGAUUGCUUAUAAAACAAAAUUACAUGAUAAUAUUAUCUUAAAACCAGCAAUAUUCAAUAAAUGUCUUCUCACUGUCUUUCUAAUGUGUUAGCACUCAUUCUAUAUAGUUUGUAUUAAUAUAUCUUAUACUCUACCUCUAUCCCUGUUAUUAGGCUUCACUUUAACUAGAUAUUUAGGAUAUUAUCUUUACCUGGGAAUGAAAUUAUGUGAUUGGAGGAAGAGAUUCCCUAUAAUUGGCAAUAGGUUUCCUCCUCUAAAAUGUUAGGUCUUUUCUUUUUUUUUCUUCUUUAUUCUGGGAUGUGGAUGUGACCUCUUGGUACUGAUUGAAAUUUAUAGUGUUGUAUACCACUGUCAACUUUCCCAAUGUCUGACAGCUUAACAGGGCCCCAAUUGUAGCCACUGCUGCCCACCUUGUUCUUCAGCUUCACUUCUUGAAACAACCUUCUCCACAGUUUCAUGAGAGCAUCUGCUUUUCACUGCAUGGUAUUUGACUCCAAGAUUCACACCUGUAGUUCUGAUAUCUUUUAUUUAUGCUCUAUUAUUUCUGCUUGAAUAACCUACUUUUACUAGAAAUUUAACCUAUGAAACUUUGAAGAUACAGGGCUAAAAUCCACCCAUGUGGCCCAAGUACCACAUGUCUUGAUAAGAGAAAGAUUGUUUUAGAUUCAAAACACUAAGAUUGUUUUCAGUCUAGUCUUUAUGAAUUUGUUUUUCAUAUUAAAAAUUAAAAAGUCAAACGAAUAAAUAAA